rnacentral:rRNA from 1 species
UACGGAGGGGGCUAGCGUUGUUCGGAAUUACUGGGCGUAAAGCGCGCGUAGGCGGACCUGCAAGUCGGGGGUGAAAGCCCGAGGCUCAACCUCGGAACUGCCUUCGAUACUGCGGGUCUCGAGUCCGGGAGAGGUGAGUGGAAUUCCUAGUGUAGAGGUGAAAUUCGUAGAUAUUAGGAAGAACACCAGUGGCGAAGGCGGCUCACUGGCCCGGUACUGACGCUGAGGCGCGAAAGCGUGGGGAGCGAACGGG